CAACCUGCCUGUAAGCGGGGAAUAACCCGUUGAAAGACGGACUAAUACCGCAUAAUACUAAAUUACUGCAUGGUAAUUUAUUUAAACAUUUAUGGCUUACAGAUGGGCAUGCGCAUGAUUAGCUAGUUGGAGAGGUAACGGCUCCCCAAGGACAACGAUCAUUAGGGGUUCUGAGAGGAAGGUCCCCCACACUGGUACUGAGACACGGACCAGACUCCUACGGGAGGCAGCAGUGAGGAAUAUUGGUCAAUGGACGAGAGUCUGAACCAGCCAAGUCGCGUGCAGGAAGAAUGUCCUUAAUGGAUUGUAAACUGUCUUUUGCGAGGGGAAUAAAGUGCAUCACGUGUGAUUGUUUUGUAUGUACUCUGCGAAUAAGGAUCGGCUAACUCCGUGCCAGCAGCUGC
rnacentral:rRNA from 1 species